rnacentral:lncRNA from 1 species
CGCUGCUAGGGACGGAAUGAAUCAGAGCUUCAAAUUUGUCCCCGUCCCAUUGCCAUUCUUACAUUUUAACACAUAUCAUUUCCUUUACCCAAAACUACAUUUUACACUCAAAAUAUCUUAAAAUUUGCAGUCUCAGUUCUUUUCAUUAUUUGAAUAUUGUGUCAUCUGUAAACAUGAAACAGCCGCCCCACUUUCCCUCACAUAUUAAGCUUACUUGUUAAUCCAAUGGUGGGUGACCCACGUUUUUACGUUUUCUCUCUCUCAAAAUUCAUCAUUAAAUAUUCUUUUUUAAGUUGUUGAUUGGUUGUUCUUGUUCUAGUAUAUGAGUUGCAGUUCAGGUGUUCGACAAAAAGACACAAAGAAGACAGGAAAGGAAAUGUACCUCAUAUCAUACAUGGUAACCAUUCUCCUGAUAUUUUUCUUGCCUAAAUGUAUUAAUUUGGUGGUAUUUGUUUUGUUCGGAGCUCUAAAUUUGUGAGGGAUAAAGGAAAAAUAUAGGAAAUUGAAGAAUUAAAAAUUAGACAAGAAAUGUUUUAAAAGUUUCCAUCCAUUACAGGUAAGUAUGAAAAUUUGGGUUUGUAAUUGAAAGGGGUUUUUCUAUUUUUUUUUGUUUUUUGUUUUCCUUUCCCUCCCUUUGCCCUGUUGAGUUUCUAAUAGAUAGCUUAUGUUCCACCAUUUAUUCUCCUAUCCAAAAUACAUGGCAAUUUGAUUAUUAUACAAUUUAUGUAGAUGUGUGCUUGGCUAAAGAGGUUUGAAAAUGUGGAUGAAGGCAUCAAAUUACAUUUAUUGUAAAAUAUUGGUUGUUUCUUGAUUAUGGUGUCAUUCUUGCAGGCAGAAAACUUCUUUUUCACUUGCUUUUCCCACAAUCAGGAUAUGUUGGUAUGCCCAGUUAUUAGCUACAAAGUAUGCUCGGUUUUAAGGUAUCUUCUACCAUGUCUUUGUUAACUUUGCUGCAUCAAAGUCAAAAGAGUGCAAAUAGCUCACAAUGCAAAAAUCUUGAUAUAUAUUUGUAUUAUUUGCAACUGUGGUUGGUUUAGUAACUAAAGAGCAAUGAUAAGACAUUUGCACAUGGUGUUACUUUUUAAAGUUUUAUACACAUUUCCAUGUCACAUUACUUGAAUCUGUUAGUCUAAUGUGCUAUUACUACCUACUCGUUUGCUGCAUUGUAAAAUGAGCUUGUAUAUAGGAACCAAAAUCUUAGUAUUCUUAGGAGGAAAUUGAUAUAAAAUGCUUCUGCAAUAAAUUUGGCAAAACAAAUUUUAUGUGCCGUUAAAGCAUGUGAAAGUGAAGUUAUUGUAGUCAACACUCAACAUCACUGAGGCCAGCAAAGCGUCUCCAAUUGUAAGGUCAGAAUCUGAAUAACGCUGAUGAGAAUCGAUUAAAAUCACGUCCUUGUCAAAAGUACUAUGUUGCAAAAAAGAAGACCAAUCCUUCAAAAUGAAAAUGGUUUUAUAGGUAUCUACAACGUAUUCAGUUAAUGCAUAAUGCAAAUUUGAGUCUGGGCUUGUGGGAGCUUUAAAGAUCUUUGGUUUGUGUUAGAAGCUUCGUAACCUCAAAAACAAACCCAGGAACUCGACUUGCAUAUUCAAGGCUUCUUGAAUCCAUCGUCAAAAGAGAAGGCUACUAGAGACUUCCCCUUGAAUUUCAUACCUCAAAUCCUAGAAUUGAUGUAAAUGCUAUUGUGUAGAGAGAGAAAUUUGAAGAGAGAGUGUUUGCGACUACUAUGUGGCUGAUAAACAAUAUGCAAGAAACAUAGAGUUAUUAUUACCUUAUAUUUUAUAGAUUCAUAUUUUAGGUUAUAAGGGCUUAAUAAAUUAAAUUUUAGUAUAAUCUCGUAACCUUGUGGAUCUACCCCAAUGUAUUAGACCAUGGGCUCCUCUCCAAGUUAACACUGCCAGUUUCGAACAAUAUUAAUAACAAUUAUUUCAGGUAAAAAAGUCCAUUGGAAACCAUAAAUUUAGCCAUUUGUUUCAAAACUAGACAACAACUUUUAUCCCAAACUAGUUGGGUUAGGGUGAAAAUGAAUUCUGUAUGUAAGCAUCUAGGAAGAAAGGCAAGGUGAACUGUCCAUCUAAAAAACGACAAGAAACGGUGAUCAAUAAUAUUUAACAUGGACAAUUUGAUAUAUUCCAUGUCGGAAAAAGGUCAAUUUAAAUAUUAAAGGACCUCUAUAUUUAAUAUCAAUUGAAGGAAUGUGGUCAAACAUGUAACUUACUUUGUCGUACAUUUCACUCAAUCGAAAAGCUAAAAGCUAAAGAAUGUAGACCUGACAGUGGAAACACGUCUAGUUGAUUACUUUUCCCGGUUACAUAAUGGGUUAAGUUGAUUGACGUUAGCAACGUGUUCAACUGAUCUUUCUAAAUUUAAUUAGCGAUGAAAAAAGUGGUUGAAAGGGGGUAUGUGCCUUCCAUGUGUCCUUUUUUGGGUAUGUAAAAUGACAGUACCCCACCUCCAACUUAAGAAACCCACUUUUCAUGCAAAUAAACAUAAUCUAUACAAAAUUUGUUUAUUUUUAUUAGUAGAAAGAUUGAGAGAAGAAAAUGAGAGCAAUGUUAAUUCAAAUGUUUAUGGAAUGCAAAAUGAUCAGUUGGUUUAAUUGUCAAAAAAAAAAAAGAUGAUGUUUUGAAAAAUUGCAAAGUACACCAUAUUUUUUUUCUUUGCAAAUCUAAGCCUGGAGCGUACUUAAUGGGGUUAAUUUAAUCUUAUCUUCAAAUUUGCCUAAUUAAUGAAGAUAUUGCAAAGUUUCAAAAUGCGAUACAUUAUUAAGUUCAAGGUCUAAAAUUAUAUAAAUGCUUAAUUUGAUCCAAUUAAUUGUGCUUCAAGAUCCAAUUUGCAAUGAAAAGUAUAUUAAGGUUUAAAUGACAGUUUUACAAAAAUAUUAGGGUUUUGUUUACAUUAUCCUAUAUAGAUUGAUCAAUCAACCAUAAAUUUAGAUAUAUUGUGGGUCAUUUCCUUGUUGUGUUGUAAUGAUAAAUUGAUAAUCAAUUGUUCACAUCUAGGGCAUUGAUCAAUGUGUACCCAAUAAACAUUCAACAAAAGUAAAAUAAAAAUAAAAUUCAUCAAGGUCUAACAAUUUUUUUAGAACUCAAUGUUGGUAUUUUGAACAUUCCAUUGUUUGGUCUAUACUUUUGCUUUUAGCUUUCCAAUUGAUAGAUUAACAAAAGAAAGGUGUUACCUCAUUAUUUCAAUUGAUGUUAAGUAGGGGUGUGCAAAUUGAUCGGUACGUGUAGUAUAUUCCCAAAACUAGCUAUACCGAACCGCCGAAUUCGGUGAAUUUCUUAACCGGUUUAGUACCUAUAAAUAUAGACACAACUGGACAGGAACACUAUCUAGUUUAUUAUGGUUCAGUAAAAUACCGGACCGUACCGAAUUAUUGAUCUAGGUAUAUAUAUAUAUAUAUAUAUAUAUAUAUAUAUAUAUAUGUCAUAUAUAUAUUAUCUUACUAUUAGUGGUAGAGAAAGUUCAAAUCAAAUCUCAAAUCUAGAGAAAGUUAUAUUAAAAGAUGAAAUCAAAUCUCAUACCUUUACACGCAUCUGCAUAUGCAUGUCUAUUGUUCAUACCUAACUUCCUAAUCUCCAAUGGCGAUCAUCAUCUUCAAGACUACGGCGUUGAUUCCACGAAUCUGCCUUCAAAUUUAAAUUUCUAAAGAUAUACCUCUCUCUAGAAGGUAUUAGGAUUUUAAUUAAGAAAUAUUUGAAAAUGAUAGAGUUGAAAGUUCGUGAAGGAGAGUUUCAUUUUUAUUUUUUUAUUUUUUCAAAUGAUGAAAAGGAUGACUACUGAUAACAUGUGUUGGAUAUCAUUUGUAGCUAAUUUUUCUUGUUGGGUUUUGCUAUGGGAUACCUAUUACAUUCGUUGGGCCUUACUGAUUAGUGAGCUAGUAUAAAUAAAUGAGACUGAAAGUUUUUAAAAAGAAAUAUAAUAAAUAAAUAAACUGGGAAGUACUGAACCGUUAAUUCGAUACUAGUAUCGGUAUUUAUUUUAAAGUAAAAUUAAUAUUGGUUGGUUCGGUACCGUUUUUUACCGAUCACCCCUAAUGUAAAGAGUGGAGUUCUUUAUUGAUUGAUCUUUUCGGCCUUUAAAAUAUACUAAUUUUAUCCAUUUUGAAUUGGAUUGGUUGAUGUUUGUGCCAUUUUUGAGAUGUUAAGUGUCAUAAAGUGUGUAUUUUUUACGGAUUCGGAAACCUUUUGAGCAAAAGGGGACAAUUUUGUGUUUGUUUUUAGAUUACUUAUUGAUAGUCCAAUUUUAUUUGGAUCUUAGCCCAUGGUUUGCGCAUUUUGGGUUGGAUCCUGAUCAGUUUAGGCGAUGCACUCAUUGUUAAAUGAACUCCUCAAGCCUUUAAUAGGUUUGAGCUAAAAGACAAGUCUAUUUAGUAUAAUGCUAUAUAACUAAGGUUUCUUUCUGAUCUCUCAAUCGGUGCAGAAGUCAAAAACAUAUUCUCUCUCUACACCUUUUCUCGGUUGACAAAGAACCCUUGAUUUGUGUGGAAAUCAAUGGGAAUAUCUUGUUAGCCUUCUUCUUCGACAGGGGAAGGAGUGAAUACAGUGGAAAUUGAAAGAGAAGCAAAUUAGAUGUUUCAAUAAGCCUAAUAUUCAAGUCUAGAUCGUUGAAUCGUGCCAAGGAUUCGAAGCUCUUAACACAAGCCAAAGAUAAAAUAAAAAAAAUCUCAAUCUCCGUCCUAGAUUUACAUAUGGUAUGCCUAAUUUCAUACUAGAUAGCUAAAAUUACAAUUUUGUGUUGAAGGAUUGGUAUCUUCUUUUUUCGCAACAUAGUAUUCCAUAAAAGGACAUGAUUUUAUGCAUUCUCAUCAAGGUUAUCUGGUUUAGAUCUUGUAGUUCAUGAAUUUUUCUAGAUUCAAUGAUGCCUGUUGUUGAUAUUUUGGUUUCAAUAUGUUUUUACUUUUCAUUAUUUCAAGUGGAUUCACAUGUCUAAACUUCUUUAAUUUGCAUGUACUAAUAUUUUUCUUAUACCUCUGGGUCUUGGAUUGGAGAAGUUUAUCUAACUUGAGAACUUUGUAAAAUGAGAACUUUGUGAAAUUAUGAAUGUUAAAAUUAAUGAAGUGGAAACAAUUUUUUCUUCCCUUGUAAACUUUGUUCUAUGAUAUGUUGUCUAUAACAAAGAGAUUUCAUUUGUUUAUAUUCACAAACAGAUAGAUUGAAACUUUCCAUUCAUGAAAAGAUUUCAUAAUUCUUGCCUCAAGUGUUUUAAAUUCUUUGAUUGAAAAGUCGAAAAUAUUUAGGGACAAUAAUCAAGUUUUUGUUAAUGAUCUGUACUAUAGUUUCAAUUCCCUAAUAAUGAGUUGUUUGGGUUUUAAUUGUAUCCUGGAGGAGUGCUGCCUCAAGGGAACUUGUCAAGCAUUUAAUUUCACAUCGUUGUCAUUGGAAAUUCUUAAGUAAUUAAAAUAAGUACACAACAUUGAAUGCACUCUAACUAAUUCUCGUAACAACACUUUCUAAAAUUAACAUCAAUAAUUUCAUUUUUCACAAGUUCUAAUAAUAAUAAAUUGUCGAAAAAGAAAAAGUUUGCAACCACAUCUUUUUUCUGGACUUUCUUGUUAUCUUUUUCACCCACUUUUUCAGCUUGCUCAGGUACUAACUUCAACUCAUCAGGAUUAAACCAUUGAGAUUUAUUUGUAACUUUACUAUAAUACUAUUUCUACUCUCUGUUUACAAAUGGCAGAAGCUUUUAGACCUGUCUAAAAGUGUCGAUAAUUCAAUUACUUCUCCUAAGAAUGCUUAGUAACCACGCCACCAGCUUCAAACUGUCGCUAAUGGAUAGCUAGAGUGUCAUUCAAAGUUCCUAUAGUCCACUAUACCCAAUUUUCAGUUAGUAUAGACAGCCAGACUUUUAUUUACAAAGGGGGGUUUCCUAUUUCUAUUUCUUUUUCUACUUUAACUUUUAAUUUCCUUUUCCUUUCCUUUCCCUCACUCUUUCUGGAUUCCUAAUGGAUGGCUAGUGUCAUUCCUGGGCAAAUAAUGACCCAAUGAUUCUAUGUUUCUACGUCCAGUUGACCUUUACUUUUCCUAUCCAAAUCUUUGGCGGUUUGAUUAAUACACAAUCGAUGUACUUGUGUGCUUGGCUAAAGUGGUUCUUAAAUGUUGUUGCAAGCAUGAAAUUACAUUUAUUUAAAUUCUUUGCUGUUUGUUGAUUGUGAUAUCAUUGUUGCAGGCAUAAACUUACUCUUUCACUUGCUAUUUCAACAUCAAAAUAUCUUGGAUCUGCCCUGUACAAGGUAUGCCUAAUUUUAAGUUUUAAGUAUCUUCUGCUGUAACACUGCUAACUUUCAGAGAUCGCAAAUUGUUUGGAAUGCAUAGCUCUUGUGGUGAUUUCAUGACUG